UGCUGGAGGUAUCAGAAGUGCGAAUGCUGACAUAAGUAACGAUAAAGCGGGUGAAAAGCCCGCUCGCCGGAAGACCAAGGGUUCCUGUCCAACGUUAAUCGGGGCAGGGUGAGUCGACCCCUAAGGCGAGGCCGAAAGGCGUAGUCGAUGGGAAACGGGUUAAUAUUCCCGUACUUGGUGUUACUGCGAAGGGGGGACGGAGAAGGCUAUGUUGGCCGGGCGACGGUUGUCCCGGUUUAAGCGUGUAGGUGUGUGUUCCAGGUAAAUCCGGUUCACUUUAACACUGAGGCGUGACGACGAGGCACUACGGUGCUGAAGCAACAAAUGCCCUGCUUCCAGGAAAAGCCUCUAAGCAUCAGGUAACAUCAAAUCGUACCCCAAACCGACACAGGUGGUCAGGUAGAGAAUACCAAGGCGCUUGAGAGAACUCGGGUGAAGGAACUAGGCAAAAUGGUGCCGUAACUUCGGGAGAAGGCACGCUGACACGUAGGUGAAGUGAUUUACUCAUGGAGCUGAAGUCAGUCGAAGAUACCAGCUGGCUGCAACUGUUUAUUAAAAACACAGCACUGUGCAAACACGAAAGUGGACGUAUACGGUGUGACGCCUGCCCGGUGCCGGAAGGUUAAUUGAUGGGGUCAGCGNAAGCGAAGCUCCUGAUCGAAGCCCCGGUAAACGGCGGCCGUAACUAUAACGGUCCUAAGGUAGCGAAAUUCCUUGUCGGGUAAGUUCCGACCUGCACGAAUGGCGUAAUGAUGGCCAGGCUGUCUCCACCCGAGACUCAGUGAAAUUGAACUCGCUGUGAAGAUGCAGUGUACCCGCGGCAAGACGGAAAGACCCCGUGAACCUUUACUAUAGCUUGACACUGAACAUUGAGCCUUGAUGUGUAGGAUAGGUGGGAGGCUUUGAAGUGUGGACGCCAGUCUGCAUGGAGCCGACCUUGAAAUACCACCCUUUAAUGUUUGAUGUUCUAACGUGGACCCGUAAUCCGGGUUGCGGACAGUGUCUGGUGGGUAGUUUGACUGGGGCGGUCUCCUCCUAAAGAGUAACGGAGGAGCACGAAGGUUGGCUAAUCCUGGUCGGACAUCAGGAGGUUAGUGCAAUGGCAUAAGCCAGCUUGACUGCGAGCGUGACGGCGCGAGCAGGUGCGAAAGCAGGUCAUAGUGAUCCGGUGGUUCUGAAUGGAAGGGCCAUCGCUCAACGGAUAAAAGGUACUCCGGGGAUAACAGGCUGAUACCGCCCAAGAGUUCAUAUCGACGGCGGUGUUUGGCACCUCGAUGUCGGCUCAUCACAUCCUGGGGCUGAAGUAGGUCCCAAGGGUAUGGCUGUUCGCCAUUUAAAGUGGUACGCGAGCUGGGUUUAGAACGUCGUGAGACAGUUCGGUCCCUAUCUGCCGUGGGCGCUGGAGAACUGAGGGGGGCUGCUCCUAGUACGAGAGGACCGGAGUGGACGCAUCACUGGUGUUCGGGUUGUCAUGCCAAUGGCACUGCCCGGUAGCUAAAUGCGGAAGAGAUAAGUGCUGAAAGCAUCUAAGCACGAAACUUGCCCCGAGAUGAGUUCUCCCUGAGACUUAGAGUCUCCUGAAGGAACGUUGAAGACGACGACGUUGAUAGGCCGGGUGUGUAAGCGCAGCGAUGCGUUGAGCUAACCGGUACUAAUGAACCGUGAGGCUUAACCUUACAACGCCGAAG
rnacentral:rRNA from 1 species